UUUUUUUUUUUUUUUCUCAUGACCAGUUUUUCUUAGGCUUUUUUUAACUGUGAUUGAUCUCAGAUAGCGUUAAUUCAAGAUAUGCUGCUUCACUACAAUUGGUCGACUAAAUCAUCUGGCAUUCUCUGGCUCUCCAGUUAGGCUGCUGAAAGAUGGAGUGCCUCUUCCCCAGAAGAGACUGUUGUUACUGUGAUCCUUGUCCCCAUCCCCUUUGGAGCAACUGUCUGCACCUCUCUGAUGUCCUUUGUCACUAUUUUAUGCCUAAUGGAGAAAGAGAAAAGCUGCUGUGUUUCCCUGAAUUUUAACAGCAUGGAUCAACUGUUCUGCAGACAAUUGUGAGUUUUACCCACCCUUCCUGAAGGCAGUUGUCUUAGUCUCAGCAGAGCUCCUCUCUCUGUCAGUGGAAACCACAAACAGGUACUGCCUGAAGGGCUGCUCAUUUUGUUCCUGAUGGGAGGUGGAACUCCCUUUUGGCAGUAUCUGUUUAUCUCUAUUAAUAACAAAAGGAGCCAAGAGUCAGCUUGAUUUAGUCAUCCAGCUGCUGAACACCUUGGUUAGGGCAGAUGAAUUCCACCUUCAAGGUUGUUUCUAAUUAUCUUAUAAGCACGUGCAGUAGAUGCUUAACCUACCAGCUAAACAUCUGCAGUUGCACAUAGGUCAGUGUCAAAUAUCACACCUUUUUCCAAGGCUGCAGGGAAAGUUUUGCAUCAAACACUGUGGGAUAAUGACACCUGAUGUGCAGGGAUCAAUUUGCAGCACAUGGCUUCCACCUGAUAGAGAGAGAAAGAAUCUCUCUGUGAAAACUGUGACAUGUCAGAUGUUUAUCUGAGUACCAAAGAAUGGAAGCUUGCAUGUGGCAAUUUCUCCAGUGUUUGUAUUUCCAGGUCCCCACAUUGGUGAUGUGUGGUGCACCUUGGGCAUCAACAGUGAUCUCUCUACCCCACUGUCCCAAACCACAAACAAUAACAUUUCUGCUGAUUCCUGUCCUCAGUGUUUCCCAAGAGGUCUGAAUUUGUCAGAAAGUCCUAAACAGCACCCAAUGGCACAGCUGGAAGUUUUGCAUGAAUACAAACUGAGGGUUAAGGAUUCAAAAUGUGGUUUGAAGUAGCUUCCCCCAGCACGGGUCAGAUCCUGAGGGCUCCCUUGAAUACUGCAUGUCACUGAGCAUCAAAAUGCAGCUUCAUUCUGAGGAUGCUUUGCACAAGAUGGAGAAAACUCUAAGGUAGCAGGAAUAUCUCCUCUCUAUUGAGAAAAGCAUCAUUGCCUUCCUCAGGAUAACAUCAAGUUAUGAUUGUGGUUUGAACAAUAUUUCCAUAAUGACUGAAAACUACCCAAAAAUUUGCUUAGCGCUGUAAAACUGACCUGGCAAGAUACAGCCAGCUACUAACAAUAGCAACCUUAUUUUAUUGCAGUCUCCUGCCAAUACCCACACAAUAUUAUUUUCUUGCAGUAAAAAUGCAAUAAGCAAAGUGGAGAAGACGCUUUUCUAUGCUAUGUACUAUGAAAAAUUAAAGUGAAAUCUUUUGUCUAUGACUCAGGUUUGAGUGGCCACUCCAUGUGCAACACCUCAUGUUUUAAAAGGAGGCACUAAAUGAAAUUCAGUCUCAGCUAGCCAGUUUGGGUUAAAUCUGCAGGGCAACUCAUCAUAUGGGAAGUUUCUGAGAAGAAAUGCUAUUUUGAGCAAGAAAUUGGUGAUUCAUAAUUGACAUUAACUCCAGUUACCCUCCAAUGUUCAUGCGGUACUUCAUGUGAAAUUAUUAUAAGGAAAGAAAGGCCGUUCCCUUGAGCAAGUUCAAGUUAAUGUUUAGGAAACCAUUUAAGUUAUUAUUAGGACAAAAGUCAUUCCAGUGGAAUGGUCAGACGCUCAGACUGCGCCCCCAGCUGCACAGCCUGUGCCUUUUAAUACCCCUUUGCAGGUAGCUCUUCAGACAUUUGGUCAUUUUGGCCAAUUCAAUGAAAUCCUGACUUCACCACUGUCCCAGUCAAAUCUCCCACCUACUGGAACAGAGCCAGAAAUGAGUCCUUUCUUAGCACUAAUUGCACUGAAAUCCAUGCUGGUGUCCAGUUUUACACACACAGGUCCCUGUGAGGAACUCCUGGAGGAGGUGGGAGCAGAGCCACAAGGACAUUCCCACACAUGGGCAGCUGCACGAGGACCUGGCCUCAAGGCAAUAUUGGUCCUGUACUGGCAGAUACCAAAAUUGCAGAAUGAUACAAUUCAGCUGGUGUAAUGAGACAGCCCAGGGCUGUAUCCUCACCUAAUGAAAGCCAAAAAUGCCCUGUGGCUUAUGCUGUAAACUGUGACCUUGAACCAGGGGUAAAUCUGGUGCCCCCACUGCCUGGUCCUUGGCAGAUGGAUGCUUUGCCUCUUGGUGUCCACAGCAGAGAUGAAGCUCUCUGAAGUUCUUCAGAAUACUGCUCUUGAUUCAGUCUAAAUGGACAUAUGAACUCAAUUAUUUCACCAUAACAUUAGCAUAGAAUAAGGAAUUAAGCAGACCUUGUUAUGGAUUGUGGUGUGAGUAAAGCUUUGGCAUCGUAUGCAAUUUUUUUAUUAUUUUGUUCUUUUCUGAAUAGAAGCAGAAAUAUCUUUCUAAUAUAGAAUAUGCCUUAAACUGCGAGUGUAAAUCAGAGGCAGGCUUCAGGUAAAGAAAGAGAUUAAGGACUCAUACAGUUAUAAAUUUAAGUACAUUUGAGCUUGAGAAAAGCAGUUUAAACUACUGCCUCAUUAUUACCUUUAGAAAAGAGGGAUUUGGAUUCCUCUCUACAAGAAACCCUGCAGUCCCAGUGCUGUGCAUGACUAAGGACCCCAGAAGAAAAGCCAGUCACUCUCCAUAGCUGGUCAAGCUCCUGGGGCACAGAGAGUUGACAGGUGAUGGAAAGCCAAAGCAUCCACCAUCCUCAUUGAGCUGCUACUUGGGCUGUGAUUAGUGAGACAACAGAAGGAUUUUUUUGGGGGGUAUCAAGAGCAUCAGCACCCAGCCUCGAGAGCAAAACUGAGAAAACAUUCUUCGUGUGAGACCAGAGGUGCAAAAUGUCCUGGCAGGGCUGAAGCAUGCUGGAGUUGGAAAGGAUACUAGAAAAGGGUAUAAACUGUGGUGUACUGAGUGUGAUCAUGGUAAAGGCUGAGACAGCUUGCAAGACAAAGGCAGAAGAGGCAGGAGAAUGAGCCAUUCAUUCAUGGAUCCAAAGAAUCCUCAGUUCUGCUGGGCAAAGGAAUCAUUGUAGAAAUGUGAGUCCUGUACUUCAUCUGAAAGCUAAAAAGAUAAAUAAGAGGUUAUCAAACAGAGGCUGGAAACAGGGAAGUUUGGCUUCACCUAGCAGAGCCAAAGCUACAGCACAGCUCCAGGAGCUUCAGGAACAUACCCUUGGCAAGAGCCUCUCUUGGAAUUACUGCCUGGGUUAGAACUUGGAGGCUACUGCAAGAAGCAGAAUUAACUCUGGAGCAAGGAACUAGGAUUUCCAAAGCAAAGGAAGUCAACUAGAACAGGUUGAGGCUGAUGCAAGGCUGCACAAAGACUGAAAAGAGCCCUGAAAUGGGAGGCAAAGCCCAGUCUGCUGCAGUGGGAGACACUGAAAACCAGAUAUCGUGUACAUACCUUGGCAAGCCACAGCUGAGCCCAGCAUUUCGGAAAUGAGAAACAACAGAUUACCUUUUCUGGGAAAGAAUCAACAUGAACCUGUGAGAGGAUGGUGACAGCACCAUUAGAGGCAAGGGGCUUAUUUACAGGAGCCAUGAAAAAUGCUGUGGGGCAAGAUAAAAGGACAGCCAGCCCAUAGGCAAAUGGCAAUAAUCAAUUUUCAGCUGGACAGAGCUGCACAAGCUGAUAAGGGUCUGACAGGGUUACGAGCACUGAGAGAAAAGCUACAGGCAGCAUAAGGGAAGAGAAGAAAGGGCUCAGAAGGACUGCUCUUCACUGAAGGAGAUAAAGGCAAAUGAAAGAGAGAGUUCAUAAUGAUGUCAGGGGUUUUUAAAAUGUCACAUCCUUGAUCUCACCCCCAGGGUGAGCACACUGCAACAGAACAACAGCAGAAAUGGCUAAAAAUCUUCUAAACUGCAGAAGAGAGCACAAAACCAGCUCAAUGUCCCCAUCUCCACAGGGAUGGCUGGAGCCUGGCACCCCCAGCCCAGGGUGAGGUUUGAAGCACACUGCUGUGAGAAUCAGUACUCCACAACCAUCCACAGGAAGAAAUGUUGCUUCCUUGCAAAAAAGGAAAAUUAAGUUAUUAUGUGAAGUUAUGAGGGCAAGUUUUCCUCUCUGCCCAGAGAGAAUGGCUUCUAGGAGGCAGCUGACAGCACAUAAAACACCUGGAGUGCUCUGGUAUUGAGAGUCCAGAGGAGGGACAUGAAGAUGGUUAGAGGGAUGGAACACCUCUCACAGGAGAAAAGGCUGAGAGAAUUGGGAUUGUUCAGCCUGGAGAAGAGAAGGCUCCAAGGCAACCUUAUUGCAGCCUUUCAGUGCCUGAAAAGAGAUUCAAACUGGAAAGGAACUUUCAAAAGGGCAUAUAGGGAUAGGAAAAGGGGUGAUGGCUUUAAACUAAAGGAGGGUGGGCUUAGAUUAUAUAUUAGGAGGAAAUUCUUUGCUGUGAGGGCGGUGAGGCAUUAGAAUAUAUUGCCCAAAGAAGUUGUAUGUGCUUUAUCCCCUCCUCAAUUGGACCUCCCCUAUGGCUCUGUGGUUGAUGCAGCAAGAUGUGUUGUAUCGUGGCACAAUUGUUUACUGAGUUAAGAGAAUCAAAUAGUGAAGGCCAAACGAAAUGGUUUUGCUUCUUCAGAGCAGAAAUUCUCAAAAUAAUUAAAAUCAAACCUUAUGAUACAGAAAUGCAAUAUCAUGGUUUGAUGGCUUUGUUUUUCUAAGGAUUUGGGUUGUGUUUUUUUCUGAGGUGAUUACAUUUUUACAGAACAUUUCAUUUGCAUUUAUGCUGUACUUUCCAGUAGAAAAUUAUGUCAUAAGAAAACAUAAUUUAUCUCUUCUGGAGUUUUGCAAGAGCAAAAUUGCAAUUCAGAUUGUCUGUAGCUGUAAAUCAAGCACACUUAUUUUAAUGGCCUGGUCUGCAGAGCUGGAGAGGCAACCUCUACCCAUCCAGUUUGUAAUGAAUUGAUGAACAUCCCUGCUCCCCACAGGAGUCUCAGACUGCUCAUAAUGCUCAAGCAUUGAUGUCUCUAUAUGAGCAGUUUCUUUAAUUACCAUUGCCAAUUCUGAUUUUCCAGGUAAAGGCAGCCACCUUGCUCAAACGUUGGAAUCAUUUAUCACCUGUCAUGAAGGAGAGUCUCUUGGCAUCCCCCUGUGCAGUAAGAUAUGCUUUGAUCUCAAAGCAUUCUAUCUACGGUGUAGUAAGACAAAGCACCACCUGCUAUGAAGCUUGACAGACUAUAUAAAAUAUAAUUUAUGUACAUUACCAUCUUGUCUGACAUAAAAGAAUCACAUAAGAGAACAAGAAGCAAAAAAAUGUUGUAACUGUAGUCGCAGGCACAAAUAUCUUUAAUUUAUGACAGACUUAAUAAAAUAGGUUUUCUUCCAAAUACACAACUCUUUCCAGGAGCUGUGCAGUGACUUCAUUUAUAUGUUCUUAAAUGAAAAGAAUGCCUGUAGUCAAUACAGUGAAAUGAAAAAUUGAAAUAUAAAAUGAAAAAUAAAAA
ensembl:lncRNA